AAGUAAAUAAAUGGAGUAAAACGAGGAUGUUAAUAAGAUUCUUUUACUUUCGACAUAUGUUUCGAAGACAACAUGGUUUUAUUCCAAAGGAAUAAACGGUGUAAGAU